GAUGAACGCUGACAGAAUGCUUAACACAUGCAAGUCUUUGGCGAAGCUGUGCUUGCACAGCCUAGCCAAGGCGGACGGGUGAGUAACGCGUAAGGAACUUGCCCUGCAGUCAGGGAUAACAGACGGAAACGACUGAUAAGACCUGGUAAAGUCAGGCGGACUCAUGUCCAGCCUGAUGAAAAGAGAUGCUGCAGGAGAGCCUUGCGUCCUAUUAGCUUGUUGGUGGGGUAACGGCCCACCAAGGCGAUGAUAGGUAGCCGGCCUGAGAGGGUGGACGGCCACAAGGGGACUGAGAUACGGCCCUUACUCCUACGGGAGGCAGCAGUGGGGAAUAUUGGACAAUGGGGGCAACCCUGAUCCAGCAAUUCUGUGUGCACGAUGAAGGUUUUCGGAUUGUAAAGUGCUUUCAGCAGGGAAGAAAAAAAUGACGGUACCUGCAGAAGAAGCGACGGCUAAAUACGUGCCAGCAGCCGCGGUAAUACGUAUGUCGCAAGCGUUAUCCGGAAUUAUUGGGCAUAAAGGGCAUCUAGGCGGCCAGAUAAGUCUGGGGUGAAAACUUGCGGCUCAACCGCAAGCCUGCCCUGGAAACUAUGCGGCUAGAGUACUGGAGAGGUGGACGGAACUGCACGAGUAGAGGUGAAAUUCGUAGAUAUGUGCAGGAAUGCCGAUGAUGAAGAUAGUUCACUGGACGGUAACUGACGCUGAAGUGCGAAAGCUAGGGGAGCAAACAGG
rnacentral:rRNA from 1 species